rnacentral:rRNA from 1 species
UCCUACGGGAGGCAGCAGUAGGGAAUCUUCCGCAAUGGACGAAAGUCUGACGGAGCAACGCCGCGUGAGUGAUGAAGGCUUUCGGGUCGUAAAACUCUGUUGUUAGGGAAGAACAAGUGCUAGUUGAAUAAGCUGGCACCUUGACGGCACCUAACCAGAAAGCCACGGCUAACUACGUGCCAGCAGCCGCGGUAAUACGUAGGUGGCAAGCGUUAUCCGGAAUUAUUGGGCGUAAAGCGCGCGCAGGUGGUUUCUUAAGUCUGAUGUGAAAGCCCACGGCUCAACCGUGGAGGGUCAUUGGAAACUGGGAGACUUGAGUGCAGAAGAGGAAAGUGGAAUUCCAUGUGUAGCGGUGAAAUGCGUAGAGAUAUGGAGGAACACCAGUGGCGAAGGCGACUUUCUGGUCUGUAACUGACACUGAGGCGCGAAAGCGUGGGGAGCAAACAGGAUUAGAUACCCUGGUAGUCCACGCCGUAAACGAUGAGUGCUAAGUGUUAGAGGGUUUCCGCCCUUUAGUGCUGAAGUUAACGCAUUAAGCACUCCGCCUGGGGAGUACGGCCGCAAGGCUGAAACUCAAAGGAAUU